rnacentral:rRNA from 1 species
CAGCCGCCACGGUAACACGGAGGGUGCAAGCGUUAUCCGGAUUUAUUGGGUUUAAAGGGUCCGUAGGCGGACUUAUAAGUCAGUGGUGAAAGCCUGUCGCUUAACGAUAGAACUGCCAUUGAUACUGUAAGUCUUGAGUAUAUUUGAGGUAGCUGGAAUAAGUAGUGUAGCGGUGAAAUGCAUAGAUAUUACUUAGAACACCAAUUGCGAAGGCAGGUUACCAAGAUAUAACUGACGCUGAGGGACGAAAGCGUGGGUAGCGAACAGGAUUAGAUACCCCGGUAGUCCCUGUCUCUUAUAC